AUCCUUCUGUUCAAUGAUGCGCACUUCCUGAUGGCCUCGCUGGGUGCACAGGACCUCCAGACCACGCAGGAGCUGCUGACCACCCUGCAGGAGGCCAGCAAGUCCCCAGGGGAGAACUGCCAGCACCAGUUAGCGAAAGACGUUGGGCUGCCCCUAUGCCAGGCCCUUGUGGAGGCUGAGAACGGAAACUCUGACCGAGUCAUAGAACUUCUCCUGCCAAUCCGAUACCAAAUCGUCCAGAUUGGGGGCAGCAAUGCCCAGGUGCCUAACUUGCCUAACUGACAUGGUACAGAGAGAUGUCUUCAACCAGCUGCUGAUUCAUGCGGCCCUCACCUGCACCUCCAGCGUCCAUAAGAAUGUGGCCCGGAGCCUUCUGAUGGAGCGUGACGCCUUGAAACCCAACUCACCCCUGACGGAGCGGCUGAUCCGCAAGGCAACAGCUGUCCAUCUUAUGCCGUGAUGGCCAGCAGGGCCCUGGCCUGCAGCUCAGCACUGACCUCCUGGCAUUAGAUUGGCUGCCUGGUUGGGAUAGGAAGUAGCUGGGUCUGUUCAUCAGAGGAUAAAGUUUAGUCCCAGCAGAACUCCCCAAAUCAGUAGUUUGGUAGAAACAGGGAAAACAAGUUAAUUUUGAGUGCUUUUCGGAACUCCCCUCAGGGCCAACAUGCUUUUUUAAGCCUCCAGAACCAAAGCAGUGCUGUUAUUUGCAGGUGCCUUGUAUUUUCUCCUG
rnacentral:lncRNA from 1 species